rnacentral:rRNA from 1 species
CCUACGGGAGGCAGCAGUGGGGGAUAUUGCACAAUGGGGGAAACCCUGAUGCAGCGACGCCGCGUGGGUGAAGAAGCGCCUCGGCGCGUAAAGCCCUGUCAGCAGGGAAGAAAAUGACGGUACCUGAAGAAGAAGCCCCGGCUAACUACGUGCCAGCCGCCGCGGUAAUACGUAGGGGGCAAGCGUUAUCCGGAUUUACUGGGUGUAAAGGGGGCGCAGACGGCGAUGCAAGCCAGGAGUGAAAGCCCGGGGCCCAACCCCGGGACUGCUCUUGGAACUGCGUGGCUAGAGUGCAAGAGUGGCAGGCGGAAUUCCGGGUGUAGCGGUGAAAUGCGUAGAUAUCAGGAGGAACACCGGUGGCGAAGGCGGCCUGCUGGACUGCAACUGACGUUGAGGCCCGAAAGCGUGGGGAGCAAACAGGAUUAGAUACCCUUGUAGUC